UCUCGGAAUUCGAUUAGAGUUUGAUCAUGCUCAGAUUGAUCUCUCGCGGCAUGCUUUACACAUGCAAGUCAACGGCAGCGCGGGCUUCGGCCUGGUGGCGAGUGGCGAACGGGUGAGUAAUGCAUCGGAACGUGCCCAUUUGUGGGGGAUAACUACGCGAAAGCGUGGCUAAUACCGCAUACGCCCUGAGGGGGAAAGCGGGGGAUUCUUCGGAACCUCGCGCAAUUGGAGCGGCCGAUGUCAGAUUAGCUUGUUGGUGAGGUAAAGGCUCACCAAGGCGACGAUCUGUAGCGGGUCUGAGAGGAUGAUCCGCCACACUGGGACUGAGACACGGCCCAGACUCCUACGGGAGGCAGCAGUGGGGAAUUUUGGACAAUGGGGGCAACCCUGAUCCAGCCAUGCCGCGUGAGUGAAGAAGCCUUCGGGUUGUAAAGCUCUUUCAGCCGGGAAGAAAGCGCACUCUCUAACAUAGGGUGUGGAUGACGGUACCGGAGAAGAGCACGGCUAACUACGUGCAGCAGCGCGGUAAUACGUAGGUGCGAGCGUUAAUCGGAAUUACUGGGCGUAAGGUGCGCAGCGGUUUGUAGACAGAUGUGAAAUCCCGGGCUUACUGGACUGCGUUUGUGACUGCAAGGCUAGAGUACGGCAGAGGGGGGUGGAAUUCCGCGUGUAGCAUGG
rnacentral:rRNA from 1 species